rnacentral:rRNA from 1 species
AUGCUUGCUAAACAAGCAUGGCGACUGCUUCAGAAUCCAGGGAACAGCAUAAUCGAAGCGACUCCAAAAAAGGGAAUUUCGUAUUCAUGGCGUAGUAUUUUGAAAGGCGUGCAACUGCUGAAAAGAGGUAUAAUUUGGAGAGUCGGAAAUGGGCAAAACAUCAAAAUCUGGACGGAUCCCUGGCUCCCAAGAGGAACUACAAGAAGGGUCACCUCAUUUUGUGGGAGACAAGUGAUUUCGAAGGUUGCGGAUCUUAUAGACCCACAAAUAAAUAGUUGGGAUGCUAACCUUGUGCACCAAACUUUCAAUGCAGAGGAUUCAAAGAUAAUCCUGCAGAUCCCCAUUCAUGAUCAUUUUGAUGACUCCAUUGCAUGGCACUUUGACAAGAAGGGAAUCUUCUCGGUGAAAUCAGCCUAUAAGGUUGCAGUGGACAAUGCAGAACGGGAAUCAAGCCAUGGGCAAACGUCAACUUCAAGAAGUAAUGGAGAGGCGACUGAUUUCGAAUGGAAGAAAAUAUGGGCUUUACCUCUCCCAAAUAAGGUCCUCCACUUCAUUUGGCGUAUGGCAACAUAUAGUCUACCACUGCGAAUGAAGUUGAAAAAUAGGGGAAUGGAUAUUGACACUAGGUGCCCAGUGUGCUUCAGAUAUGAUGAGGAUGGUUGUCAUUGUUUCCUCAAAUGCAAAAAGGUGAAACAAUUGUGGCACGCAUCACAGAUGGAAGAUAUUAGAAGCAAGUUAGUGCUAUGCAAUGAUCCUCUCAGCUUGUUUGAGGAGGUAUUUCAUCUGUCAGAGGAAGAGAGCAUAAAGGUGUGUGUCCUGUUCUGGCAAUGGUGGCAUGAAAGAAAUAAAGCUAACGUGGGCGACAUGAUGAAAACCAUUGAUGAAAUUGUUGCCUCUAUUUAUUAUCAUGUCAAUAGUUUCAGGAAUCUCAAGAUACGAAGGAGUGCCCAGAAACAGACCGCCACGCCAAAAUGGUCUCCUCCACCAAGUACAUUCCUUAAAAUAAAUUUUGAUGGUGCGUUUCAUGAAGCAUCAAACUCUGGAGGUUGGGGUUUUACUCUGACAAAUGAUGAAGGCACACUUUUGGCUGCAGGAGCAGGAAACCUGGAACUUGUAUCCAGUCCACUCCAUGCCGAAGCUUUAGCCAUGCUAUAUGCAAUCCAUGCCACGGCAAGGAUGGGAGGUAACCAAGUCAUCUUUGAAACUGAUUCCAUGGUGCUGAAACAGGCGGCAACAAGCGAAGAGUAUGAUAAAUCUACUUUAGGAUCUUUGUUCCAGGAGAUAAAAUUUCAGUUGAAUGUUGCUUUUGAUGUUGCUAAACUGAAUGUAUGUCCUAGAAUCUGUAACAAUGCAGCACACUCUUUAGCAGCGUAUGGUCAUGGUCUAGGGAGUGGCAGAUGUGAGACCUGGUUGGGCCACUUCCCUGAGUUUGUACAAAACUCUGUAACUGGUGACUUAGCCAGAUUGUCUUUGUAA